rnacentral:tRNA from 1 species
GGCGGUGUAGCUCAGCUGGUAGAGCAGGAGAAUCAUAAUCUCUGUGUCCGGGGUUCGAGUCCCUGCACCGCCACCA